rnacentral:tRNA from 1 species
GGGCGCAUGGUCUAGUGGUAUGAUUCUUCUUUAGGGCUUGUCUCCGACUAAGAUCCAUAGAAGAGGUCCUGGGUUCAAUUCCCAGUGCGCCCC